GACGAACGCUGGCGGCGUGCUUAACACAUGCAAGUCGAACGGAAAGGCCCUGCUUUUGUGGGGUGCUCGAGUGGCGAACGGGUGAGUAACACGUGAGUAACCUGCCCUUGACUUUGGGAUAACUUCAGGAAACUGGGGCUAAUACCGGAUAGGAGCUCCUGCUGCAUGGUGGGGGUUGGAAAGUUUCGGCGGUUGGGGAUGGACUCGCGGCUUAUCAGCUUGUUGGUGGGGUAGUGGCUUACCAAGGCUUUGACGGGUAGCCGGCCUGGGAGGGUGACCGGCCACAUUGGGACUGUGAUACGGCCCAGACUCCUACGGGAGGCAGCAGUGGGGAAUAUUGCACAAUGGGCGGAAGCCUGAUGCAGCAACGCCGCGUGCGGGAUGACGGCCUUCGGGUUGUAAACCGCUUUCGCCUGUGACGAAGCGUGAGUGACGGUAAUGGGUAAAGAAGCACCGGCUAACUACGUG
rnacentral:rRNA from 1 species